rfam:Dipodomys ordii contig_65449, whole genome shotgun sequence.
GGUGGCUCAAUGGUAGAGCAUUUGCCUUGCAUGCAUGAGGCCCUGGGUUCGAUUCCUCAGCACCA